GGCGGGACACGUGGUAUCCUGUCUGAAUAUGGGGGGACCAUCCUCCAAGGCUAAAUACUCCUGACUGACCGAUAGUGAACCAGUACCGUGAGGGAAAGGCGAAAAGAACCCCGGCGAGGGGAGUGAAAAAGAACCUGAAACCGUGUACGUACAAGCAGUGGGAGCACCCUUUGGGGUGUGACUGCGUACCUUUUGUAUAAUGGGUCAGCGACUUAUAUUCUGUAGCAAGGUUAACCGAAUAGGGGAGCCGGAGGGAAACCGAGUCUUAAUUGGGCGUUAAGUUGCAGGGUAUAGACCCGAAACCCGGUGAUCUAGCCAUGGGCAGGUUGAAGGUUGGGUAACACUAACUGGAGGACCGAACCGACUAAUGUUGAAAAAUUAGCGGAUGACCUGUGGCUGGGGGUGAAAGGCCAAUCAAACCGGGAGAUAGCUGGUUCUCCCCGAAAGCUAUUUAGGUAGCGCCUCGUGAAUUCAUCUCCGGGGGUAGAGCACUGUUUCGGCUAGGGGGCCAUCCCGGCUUACCAACCCGAUGCAAACUGCGAAUACCGGAGAAUGUUAUCACGGGAGACACACGGCGGGUGCUAACGUCCGUCGUGAAGAGGGAAACAACCCAGACCGCCAGCUAAGGUCCCAAAGUCAUGGUUAAGUGGGAAACGAUGUGGGAAGGCCCAGACAGCCAGGAUGUUGGCUUAGAAGCAGCCAUCAUUUAAAGAAAGCGUAAUAGCUCACUGGUCGAGUCGGCCUGCGCGGAAGAUGUAACGGGGCUAAACCAUGCACCGAAGCUGCGGCAGCGACGCUGAUGCGUUGUUGGGUAGGGGAGCGUUCUGUAAGCCUG
rnacentral:rRNA from 1 species